rnacentral:rRNA from 1 species
UACGGGGGGGGCAAGCGUUGUUCGGAAUUACUGGGCGUAAAGGGCUCGUAGGCGGCCGACUAAGUCGGACGUGAAAUCCCCAGGCUCAACCUGGGAACUGCGUCUGAUACUGGAUGGCUCGAGAUUGGGAGAGGGAUGCGGAAUUCCAGGUGUAGCGGUGAAAUGCGUAGAUAUCUGGAGGAACACCGGUGGCGAAGGCGGCAUCCUGGACCAACACUGACGCUGAGGAGCGAAAGCCAGGGGAGCAAACGGG